rnacentral:rRNA from 1 species
AUGACUUUAAUCAAUAUUUUGGGAUGGCAAUUCCCUCAGUAUGAUGAUCUGAGGCUACGUGCCGCAAAGGUUGUUGUUUGCAUAGCUCCAUAUCUACAUAUAAACGAGUUCCCUGCUCUCUUGCAGCUCGUUUUAUCACUUGUUGAUUCUCAAGUGGUCAGUGGAGGCAUGACGAGCAAUCAGCAAAUAAUCGGUAAUGGUAGACAGAAAAGGAGGACCGCAGACAUUGAGGGAGGGAACAGGCCAGAAGCUCUGGUUUGCAAACUGUGGCAGCACUUCCAAAUAUUGAAGUCAGUUCCACACGCGGAUUCAGAGGAUACAGGCUCUCUGUCAGCACUUGGAUUGAACAUACUAAAUGGUCUUUCGCAGAAUGUUCAGAAUUUUUCGGAGGAGUUCUUGAGAGCAACAGAGGUCCUCAUACGUUGCUUUCCUGGUCCGACAGUAGCGCAGCGAGAAGAGUUCAUAACUUCAUGGUUGAAAUUAAUAGCCAAACUUUCAGGGGUAAAGGGGGAAGUCGGUGUAAAACUGCGUCAAGGGCUUACGGAGGGCAACUUUUUAAUACUUAACUUCGUCGAGGUCUUGGAGCUGGAGGGAAGCUCCAGCUACGUUGAACACACAAAGCUGGUGUUUCAGAUCAUUGCAAAUGUCUCCAUUGCGAUGAAGACAAGGAACAAGAUUGGGUCAGUCCCAAUGGUAAUUAGCAAGUUGUUGAAAGAGUUUAUUGGGGAGGAAUCCCAACCACUAAGGGCAGAGGCAGGUGCUGCCCUCGCCAUGCUGGCAUUAGAAAGCCCUCAGACCUGCUAUGACAUACUCACGAAAGCAGGUAAUAAGAUUGUAGUUGAUCUUACCUUCAAGAUCCAGAAAGGUCAAUAUGUAUACCCAGCUGCAAGGCUAUUAUAUAGCCUCUGCAAACACAAUGGAAUCAAUGUCGAGUCAUGA